UGUGUUGUGAAAAGUUCUGAUAAAGAAUCCUUUUAGAUGGACUUGAAAAAUAUGUAGUCAUCUCUGAUGAACAAUUUGGUUUUAAAAGUAAACAUGGCACUGAUACGUGUAUCUAUGCUUUGAAAGAGGCAGUAAGAAAAUACAGUAGACAGAACUCCACUAUG